rnacentral:rRNA from 1 species
UGAGGAAUAUUGGACAAUGGGCGCAAGCCUGAUCCAGCAAUGCCGCGUGCAGGAUGAAGGCCUUCGGGUUGUAAACUGCUUUUGUACGGAGCGAAAAGGUCUGCCCUGAUACGGUGGGCUCAUGACGGUACCGUAAGAAUAAGCACCGGCUAACUACGUGCCAGCAGCCGCGGUAAUACGUAGGGUGCGAGCGUUAAUCGGAAUUACUGGGCGUAAAGCGUGCGCAGGCGGUUAUAUAAGACAGAUGUGAAAUCCCCGGGCUCAACCUGGGACCUGCAUUUGUGACUGUAUAGCUAGAGUACGGUAGAGGGGGAUGGAAUUCCGCGUGUAGCAGUGAAAUGCGUAGAUAUGCGGAGGAACACCGAUGGCGAAGGCAAUCCCCUGGACCUGUACUGACGCUCAUGCACGAAAGCGUGGGGAGCAAACA